rnacentral:rRNA from 1 species
CCUACGGGUGGCAGCAGUGAGGAAUAUUGGUCAAUGGGCGAGAGCCUGAACCAGCCAAGUCGCGUGAUGGAGUACUGCCCUAUGGGUUGUAAACCUCUUUUGUCGGGGAGCAAAAGCCGGACGUGUCCGGCUGUGAGAGUACCCGAAGAAAAAGCAUCGGCUAACUCCGUGCCAUGCGCCGCGGUAAUAAGUAGGAUGCGAGAGUUAACCGGAGUGAUUGGGUUUAAAGGGAGCGUAGAUGGGUUGUUAAGUCAGUUGUGAAAGUUUGCGGCUCAACCGUAAAAUUGCAAUUGAUACUGGCUGCCUUGAGUAAAGUUGAGGUAGGCGGAAUUCGUGGUGUAGCGGUGAAAUGCUUAGAUAUCACGAAGAACUCCGAUUGCGAAGGCAGCUUACUAAACUGCCACUGACAUUGAUGCUCGAAAGUGUGGGUAUCAAACAGGAUUAGAUACCCCUGUAGUC